UUUGACCUCGGAUCAGGGUAGGGAUACCCGCUGAACUUAAGCAUAUCAUAG
rnacentral:rRNA from 1 species